rnacentral:rRNA from 1 species
CCUACGGGAGGCAGCAGUGAGGAAUAUUGGUCAAUGGGCUUACGCCUGAACCAGCCAAGUCGCGUGAGGGAAGACUGCCCUAUGGGUUGUAAACCUCUUUUGUCAGGGAGCAACGCCGGCUACGUGUAGCCGGACUGAGAGUAACUGAAGAAAAAGCAUCGGCUAACUCCGUGCCAGCAGCCGCGGUAAUACGGAGGAUGCGAGCGUUAUCCGGAUUGAUUGGGUUUAAAGGGUGCGUAGGCGGAAUGCCAAGUCAGCGGUAAAAUCGCGGGGCUCAACCUCGCUCCGCCGUUGAAACUGGCGUUCUUGAGUGGGCGAGAAGUAUGCGGAAUGCGUGGUGUAGCGGUGAAAUGCAUAGAUAUCACGCAGAACUCCGAUUGCGAAGGCAGCAUACCGGCGCCCAACUGACGCUGAAGCACGAAAGCGUGGGUAUCGAACAGGAUUAGAUACCCGUGUAGUC